UUGGCUUUGAUUCCUGAUUCUGCAAAUACAGAAUGUGCAUGCAAAGGUCCUAAUGAAGUCUGAUUUCUCACAUGAAUAAUUUGUGUAGGUGUGGUAAGGCUUAUCAGUAAGUAAUGUUUGGUUCAGUGCCUUUCAGUAGCCACUUGCUGCAUUUCUAAACAGUUUUCAUCAGAAAUUCUUGCAGGUAUCGUUGUGUUUCAGAUCUACAUCACCAAUUGUACAGUCAUUUUGGAAACUGCCUCAACUGAGCUCUCUAGCACCUUUAACUCUUCACACAAUCCCACUGAAAAUAGGCAAGAGAGACACUCAUAAACAACCACUGAAUAGGAAAAAGUAUGCUACUUCUGAAGCUUGCAUGAGCUGGUGUUAAAUGAUCCAGAGCUGAGAUGGACCCACAAGAGUGGAAAGAGGUGGAAAUGGAAAGGAAUGCUGACCAGAGCAUCCUCAGUUGACCUCACCAGAUGGUCACUUCCUUGGGAACACCCCGAGGUAGUCCCCAGAGCAUCCUACAGGAGGCAGGUGAUGGAGCAUCUGCAUGGCACCGCUGAGGUCACAGGAUGUGUCCCAGCCAGUGGAAACAUAUGGUAACCCAGCCCAUCUGUCAGUCUCGUGUUGACUUCAGUGGAAUUUUGCUCCAGCAGAGCUUUACUGCAGUCAUGGUACUCUGUUCGGAAAAGUAAACACGAAUGUAUUCUCAUAUCCUGAAUGCAAGUUAAUCAAGUUGGAUAAAGCAAGAGAAAGCAAAUAUAAGUAAUGCUAUAGACCAGGCUGCCAGCUGAUCUUGUGGUUUGAUAGGUGAUUCCUCAUUAUUUGUUCUGCUAAGAGGAAAACUUGUGCAUUUCUUUGUAACAUUUGUGAAUGGAUUUGUGUGUUUGUCUUUGCACUACUGUGGCAGAGCACCGUAAAUGCGAUAAGGAGUGACUCAUGCAUGCACCCCGUUAGCAACGUGAGCACGCUGAGUGACGUGCAGCCGCUCCCACAGAGCGAUGCAUGCAGUCAGAGGAAGAUGCAUUCUGUGUGCAGUAUGCAAAGGGAUCUGCACGGAGUCGAGGAUGUUUACGCAGCCAUAAAGGGAGCAGGUGUGAGCAGGACACUGAACAGAGCCCAGCAUCCUGUUUUUUCUUAGGAAGUCUCUUUUUUUUUUUUUCAUGGGACAUCAUUGUCCUUCUGUUUGCAUCUCAGCAAGAGAUACAGGGAUCGAUAGUAAAAAUAGCUCCAGUAUCAAAGCUUUUUGAGUGGUCAGGUGCUGGAACAGGCCGCCAAGGAAGGUGGUUGAGUCACCGUCCCUGGAGGUGUUCAAGAAAUGGACAAAUGAUGUGGUACCAAGGAAUGUGGCUUAAUGGGGGAUUGUUGGUGGUAGGUGGACAGUUGGACUAGGUAAUCUUGGAGGUCUUUUCCAGCCUUGGUCAUUCUAUGAUUCUCUUCCUGAGCACGCUGUGCAUGGGGGUGGCUGGAAGGCUUUGCUUAGAUGGAGCUGUGAGCUCCCUGGAGGGAGGACUGCUUUAUCUCAGUGCGAUAGAAAACAUUUCCAUCUGCUCAGUUGGAGCAGAAUCCCUUUCUGACAAUACUUGGCACAGUGUCGAUACCCGAACCACAGUUUUCCAUUGUUGUUUUGACUCUUAGAAAACUUCUAUUAUGGACAAGAAUGUGAUAGCUGCGCAUCUUUUUAUUAAUGUAACUGGUGUUCUGCCACGUUGGCUUUUCUGCUGCAUUUUCAUUAAUGCACUGCAAGGCUUUGGCUGUGCAUGGAGGACUUGACACCUUUCCAAGGCCAUGCUGCGUGGCACUGAGGUGAUGUCUUGGCACUGGAGCUGCGUGCUGUAGAGUAACUUUGGUGCUUUCAUCAUCCUAAUGAAGGAUGGAAACCUUGUUUGCCUCUUUCAGGUUGGUGAAAGUCAUCAUAGACUCCUAGGGAUUGAAGAGAAUUUUUCCAUUUUGUAUUUAAUGACAAGCAAUAAAUAUUCCAUGAAGCCCUACUGAGGCUGUUGUAACGGCAACAGAGACACUACAGUGUGUUUGCGCAGCUUUGCAAGCAGUGUUAUUCAUGAUGCAAAAGAUAGAAUAAAACCACAUUCCCCCUUUAGCCCAGGGGAGCUGGAUUUAUCAGGGAACAGGUACUGGCCAACUUGCUAUGGCUGCCUGAUCUGGCAGGGGAUGGGGAGCCCCAGGGCAAUUCCCUUAAAAUAAUAUAAUAAUUAAAAAAUAAAAAAGCCCCACCAACUGAACACUAUUCAUACAGAAUUUUUCUAAUUUUAGGCAUAUGCUAUGAUUUUGUUGGGGCAUGAUGAGCCUGUGGCUUUUUUCUUUCCCGAACAAUGACAAUAACAAAGUACUGCUAAAAAUAAAAUACCCAACUUUAUAUACAUUGAGAAGGUAUUUAAGUUAUAUUCGUGAAAUGUAACCCCUGUCUGAACUUGGGAAUGUCUGCUGCUAGAUGUUCAAGCCAAUGCCUUUUUAUAGCAGCGUUCUGACAAGGAUUAUUUAUGUAUUUCACUGUAUGCACUGUAUAGAAAACUCUGGAGGCAGUGUUAUUUUUAGUUAUGUGACCUUCAAGUAUAUUCAUCUAUAUACCAGUAAAUUAGUUUUUAACAGGUGAAUGACUUAAUAUAGCUAGGCAGAUGAGUUGCAGAUGUGGAUAACAUCUGUCUAAGAUGCUUUUUUCCAGGCUUUAGAUUACUCAUCUGGGAUGGUUAGAAGCCAGCUAUGGGGAUUAUCGAUAAAAAUGAGUUAAGAAUAGAUUAGAACAUUUCCCUUGUGAGGUAUCAUGUUUCUCUGAUGACUGCAUUUUCCAUCUUCCAUUAAACAUCACAAGUCAGAAUUUUUUGAACUCAUUUUAAACUAUUCAUGUUCUAUUUAAAUUGUAUUAUUAAAAAUGUUCAAGUUCUCUGACACAGAGUGAAGGGUGUUCUUUUAAGAGAAAGCAAAAAGAAGAACACUUUAGCUUUAGCUUAGGGUCUUAUUGUGUUGUGGAGAAGGAAAUUUUUUUCUGCUAUCCUGAGUUGUUGCCUGCUCUGAACCACACUUGUGGCCAAGAUGGGCACUAAUUAAUUUUAGUCAUUGGUGCAAAUGUGAUCCUCCUUUGAGCAUCCAGACUUUUAGUGCAGUUGUGGUUUUGUGUAGUUCCAAUGCUUCGGUGUCUCUUUUUGUUACUGCUUUUUAUUUCCAAUAAAUCUACUCAGUAAUCUGUAUUUUAAAAGUCUUUGGCACAUGCAGAAAGAUGAAGAGAUGGAGUUCAGCAUGAGGAAGUUAUUUGAAAUGCGAUAGCUCUCAAGCUUAAAAUAAAUGAGUAUUUGAAGUCUGUUCAGAGAUGUAAUAAAUGUGAAAUGUCUCUGUCCUUAUGAGGGUCACAGGGACUCUGCUUUGCUGGAUAGAGGAUUCAGCUGGGCUCUUACCUGCCAUACAGAGGUUAUAACUCAAAUCAGGAAAACAGGAAAUAAAAAAGAAAAAAAAAAAAGAGAAAGACAUGGGGGGGGGGGAAA